rnacentral:rRNA from 1 species
AUGCAAGAUACGGCCACCUCAACUUCCAGGCGCUCCGCAAGCUCGCCCAGCAAGGACUGGUGCGCGGGCUGCCCUCCAUUGACCACAUCGACCAGGUGUGUGACGGGUGCCUCGCCGGCAAGCAGAGGUGUGCCUCGUUUCCCGCAGAGGCGAACUACAGAGCGGAGCAGAUCCUGGAGCUGGUGCACGGCGAUCUUUGCGGGCCCAUCACGCCCGCCACGGCUGGUGGGCGGCGCUACUUCCUCCUCGUCGACGACAUGUCCAGGUACAUGUGGCUGUCAGUGCUUCGGUCCAAGGACGAGGCCGCGGGGGCGAUCGCGCGGUUCCAGGCGCGCGUGGAGACAGAGACAGGGCGCAGGCUGCGCGCACUGCGGACGGACCGCGGCGGCGAGUUCACCUCCGUCGACUUCAGCGACUACUGUGCAGACCGAGGGGUGCAGCGGCAGCUCACGGUGCCGUACUCCUCAACAAAACGGCGUUGUGGAGCGCCGUAACCAGACGGUGGUGGCCAUGGCCAGGAGCAUGAUGAAGGUCGCAUCCAUGCCAGGAGAGUUCUGGGGGGAGGCAGUCACCACUGCCGUGUUCAUCCUGAACAGGUCGCCGACGCGCUCCGUGGUCGGCAUGACCCCGUACGAGGCGUGGCACGGUGAUCGACCUCCGGUGCACUUCCUGCGCACCUUUGGGUGCGUGGUUCAUGUCAAGACGGUGAAACCGCACCAGAGCAAGCUCGAGGACCGCUCCACUCCGAUGGUUUUCGUCGGGUAUGAAGAGGGCGGCAAAGCGUACCGCGCCUACAACCCGGCGACCAAGCGUGUCCAGAUCAUGCGGGAUGCUGUCUUCGACGAGUCAGCACGAUGGAACUGGGAGGACUCCUCUCAUGGCACUCCGGCAACAGUGGGUGAGUCGUUCACUGUACCUUAUCCAGCUUACAAGGUGCAGAUGGCUCAGAGUGGCGGAGAAGAAGAAGCAGAACCUCAGACACCGCCGGCUCUGCGGAACCUUGCAGCGGCGAGAUCACGCUCUGAAGUGAACACGCCCGCACCUGUCAGCAGUCCGGACACGGCCGUGUCUGUCAGCAGCCCGGAAUCGGCGACCGAGGCACCACAAACCUCUGCUGCAGCCGCCACUCCAGGGGGUUUGGAGUUUGUGACACCGCCCUCCGGGAGCCCAGUGCUGGACGCCGAUGACGACGCGCGCGUAGCUCAUCGCUUUCGCCGUGUGUCUGACGUUCUCGGGCUCCACUAUGGCGCCGUUCAGCCAGACAAAAAACUGCUGAUCGCCUCUGCUGAAGAACCAAGUACAUUCAAAGAAGCGGAGCUCGAUCCAAGCUGGCGCAGAGCGAUGAUCGAGGAGGUAAACUCGAUCGAGGAAAACAACACGUGGGAGCUCACUGAUCUGCCCGCUGGACACCAGGCCAUCGGGGUAAAGUGGGUGUUCCGCGUCAAGAAGGACCCGGCCGGAGAAAUCGUCAAGUACAAAGCUCGCCUCGUCGCCAAGGGAUUUGUGCAGAAGCCUGGCAUCGACUUCGACGAGGUUUUUGCCCCAGUAGCUCGACUGGAGUCCGUGCGCCUUCUGCUAGCACUUGCAGCGCACGAGGGAUGGCCGAUCCAUCACAUGGAUGUCAAAUCGGCUUUCCUCAAUGGCGAGCUGAAGGAGGAGGUCUACGUCGAGCAGCCGCCGGGUUUCGUCGUCGACGACCACAGGCGCAAGGUACUGAAGCUGCACAAGGCGCUGUAUGGUCUCCACCAGGCACCUCGCGCUUGGAACGCCAAGCUUGACACCACGCUCGUUGACAUGGGUUUCCGUCGCUGCAACUCCGAGCACGCCGUCUACGCACGCGGGUCAGGCCGCGAGCUCCUUCUUCUGGGGGUGUACGUGGAUGACCUGGUGAUCACCGGGGCCGACGCCACGGAGAUCGACAAUUUCAAGACGGCGAUGAAGGGCAAGUUUAGGAUGAGCGAUCUCGGGUUGCUCUCCUACUACCUAGGCAUUGAAGUGCGCCAGGAUGUGGAUGGUGUGACCAUUGCGCAGAGCGCGUACGUUGACAAGAUCAUUGAGAAGGCGGGGCUGAUGGGGUGUAAUGCACGUCAGACACCCAUGGAAGCGCGUCUGAAGCUGAGCAAGGCAAGCACAGCGGCUUCGACGGACGCUACGGAGUACAGGAGCAUGGUGGGGACGUUGCGCUACCUCACCCACUCCCGGCCAGAUAUCACCUUCGCGGUGAGCUACGUGAGCCGUUUCAUGGAAGCGCCCACGGUCGAGCACUUGACUGCUGUUCAGCACAUCGUCAGGUACGUGGCCGGCACUCGUGAUCUGGGGUGUCAUUUUCCUCGCCGGCGAGCCAACGGAGCCAGGCUCGUCGGGUACAGCGACAGCGACAUGGCGGGCGACAUCGAUGAUCGCAAGAGCACGUCCGGGGGAGUCUUUUUCCUCGGUGAUAGCCCUGUCAGCUGGCUGUCGCAGAAACAGAAAGUGGUGGCCCUUUCAUCAUGUGAAGCUGAGUUCAUUGCAGCAAUAACGGCCGCAUGUCAGGGCGUGUGGGUGGCGCGUCUGCUUGCAGAAAUCACAGGUGAAGAACUUCAGGUGCCACUGCUUCUGGUGGACAACAAAUCUGCCAUAGCUCUCUGCAAGAAUCCGGUUCUCCACGACAGAAGUAAGCACAUAGAUGUGCGGUAUCAUUUCAUCAGGGAAUGUGUGGAGGAUGGAAGGAUGACAGUUGAUUACAUCCGAACUGAAGAUCAGUUGGCUGACAUUUUGACGAAGCCCCUGGGACGGGUCAGGUUCAUCCAGCUGAGAGAGAAGAUUGGAAUGAAGAAAAUAAAGUAA